GUUGUAUGGUUAAGUGAACUAAGCGUAC
rnacentral:rRNA from 1 species